UAGGUAUGUAAAAAUUAGUUUAUUUGUCUACUUUUAAUAAAUGAGAAAAAAGGGGAAAACACAGUAGCCUGUCUCAUAUAGAACAUUUAUAAUACAUAACAAUCCAUAAAGCCUCAUGGUGAGGUAGGAACAGCUUUGGAAAACAAUAUACAGUCAUAAAACAUAUAAAAAAAAAAACACAUCAAAAUCGGUAAAAUUUUACACAGAAAAUAUAUUUGUAUCUGCAUUUAGUGAGAUGACAACUGCAUAAAACUGCACCACAUUCUGCCCAGAUAGCUGGCAAUAGCAGACACCAAAACUACAUUAUGAAAGUUCAAUAAUCACAGCAUACACUGAUGCAUUUUCAUUGUGCUGUUUUCAAGGCAGAACGAUAACAUGGCAAUUUCUGUGUCUUGAGCAAGACUUCUUUUAUACAACCAUAUAUACUAAUUAUAUGCUACAUUCCUUUCAGUAUCUUUUUGUCAAAGACACUGGACCAUAAAAUUUUUGGUUUAAAUGUUUAAAUUGUAGGACAUACAAGAGGCCCUUUGCCAGUGAAAAUGAUUGCUAAAAUAUUCCAGGUUUUGUCAGUAAAGUGAAAUUGCAGUUAUAUAUAAGGUCUGUAAAGCUACAUCAAAAUGAUGCUACUCAACUCCUUUUCAGAAAUGGUCAAAUAAGUUUGACUCAGGUCUAAGAAUAAACAGAAAAAAAAGGGGGGGAGGGAGGAGUUUUUUCUGCUAUCUCACCAAGUUUUAAUACUGUUUUGUGAUUCACCAUUACACUGAAACUCAGUAUUAAGUAAAUAUUUCAAUCUGGUUUGAAGAGCUUCAGCACAUCAACCAAGUUACUCUCCACAUUUGCUUCUUCAUACUUUGUGAAGACAUUAAGACAAAAGGUGAAGAUGUGACAUUUAUAGCUUUCUUAUUAAAAAAAAGUAUUAGCAUUCAAAUAAAUCUUCAUCCAGUUAUUCCACUUACAGUAUGUUCAUGUUAUAUCCUUUUUAUUUCCUUUAAUAAUGUUUUCAAGUUUCUAAUCUUAGAGAAGCAAAAAUAAAAACAUCAAAUGGAAGUUCCUCCAAAAUAACAGCAAGCUACCAAAAAGUUUCCCUCAUAAUACAUCACCCUAUCUCUGACUGUGAUUUUCAGUGGGGUACUUGAGGGGAAAAAAAAAUUGCUCUCAAAUUGCUUGCCUCGGAAAUGGCAUUCUCCCCCCCCCAGCCCUUCCCCAAAACAUUCAAAUACAAAGUUUUUUCUAAUUCAUAUCUUUCUUAAUGCAAAUAUGUACUCCAAACCAACUAAUUCAAGAAUCGCAAGCUAAAAUGUCACAGUGGAGAUCUACUCUCCCUUAAUUAAGGCUGUAUUUGGCUUGCAAGUUUUUUUUCUAGAUUAGUUUUAAUUCAGGCACAUAAAAUGCCUCCUUUUCUACGACUGACAAUAGACAAAAAUCUAAGGAUCCCUACCAUAAACUUGCUGAUCUUACAAAAGCCAGCUUAAAAAGCUUGCAAGACAACUGGUGCAGAAAUGAAAAAUGGGUGGGUUUUUUCUUUAAACACUGGGCUACAAUGCCCUAAGAAUGAGGAUUUCCUCAUUUCCUUUCAUAAAGGCAAAAGGGAUUCAAAACUUAGGAAUUCUAAAUACAAAAAACAAACAAAACAAAAACCACAUGUUUUUCAACAUAACUUUUUAUAUAGUAAAAUAUAGGUUAGAAAGUGCAUUGUAAAGAGAAACACUGUUUCUCUGUUAAAACUCAAAAGGUGAGUCAGUGCCCACUGUUUUUGUUAUUGAAUAACAAACUACUUUGAGAAGGAACACACUAGGGUACCACUUUAUGCAUUAUAUAUAAACUACUUUAAAACAAGUUAUGAAAAACCAGACAACUAGACCUACAGGUUACUUUUAUAGUACUUUUGAGAAAAACAUAGCCCUUGUCCUGUGCUUAUAUUUUUAAAACCUCAAUUCUUUAGGAAAUAGACUCGUUUUUAUGUAUUUGGUUCAGAAAAUUUUUCUUGGAUGUUUUUAAGAUAUUUUGCUAGUUAUCUUUUUUUUUGUAUCUUUACUGAAAUGUUUACAAAAUAUAAACUCAACUUUGAAAUAUCUUAAUAAAAUAUUCCAUAGUUUAAAAUGAUAAAUCAGGAAUGCACAUGAUAACGGUACAAUUAGCAGCUUUCCUCUUGUUUACCCACAUAAUAAGACCCCCUGUUUUGUGUCAAAAAGACUCAAAAUCACACAAAAAUUAAAGAUACCUAUCAGUUUAGGAAUUAUCAAUUGAAUUAUGAGGGUGAUAUCAGCAAAAUAGUAUUAAGAGACCCCAAUCGGCAGGUUACAGUUUUGGCCCAUUUUAGCAAACCUGAAUUUAUAAAACUGUGUUCCUAUUGUUAUCCAAGCACAAAUUGUUCUCAUUCUUAAAGGAAUAUAUACUGUCCAUUAACACGGCCUAUUUAAAAAAUAAUAAGCCCAUUGCCAGCAACAGGCAUACACUAGAAGGGGAAAAAAACUUAUGCCUGCUACAAGAAUUAUCCACUAAAAAAGAAAUUUCUAAUCCCAGUCUUUAUCAAUAUCUUUAUCUUAAACUUUGUAUUUAAAUAGUGAAUUCUUUUCUAUCAAAAAGAUAAGCCAUUUUCAGAAGUAGUCACCUAUAAAAACAAUUGAAGUAGUCAGGACACUAUGCUCUUGGCAAAAUAGUUCUAUAUAUGAUAACUGAUGUCAUCAAUAUUAGUCUCAUUACAGAAAAAAACUAUACACUUAAUAAAAAAAAAGCAUAAUGAUUCUUCCAAUCAAGACAAUUUUUUAAACUUCUUAAAUACUGUUUAAGUAACUGUACUUAAAAGAAACAGCAAUA
rnacentral:lncRNA from 1 species